UACGGAGGGUGCGAGCGUUAAUCGGAAUUACUGGGCGUAAAGCGUGCGCAGGCGGUUAUAUAAGUCAGUUGUGAAAUCCCCGGGCUCAACCUGGGAAUUGCAUCUGUGACUGUAUAGCUAGAGUACGGUAGAGGGGGAUGGAAUUUCGCGUGUAGCAGUGAAAUGCGUAGAUAUGCGGAGGAACACCGGUGGCGAAGGCAAUCCCCUGGACCAGUACUGACGCUCAUGCACGAAAGCGUGGGGAGCAAACAGG
rnacentral:rRNA from 1 species